AUUGAACGCUGGCGGCAGGCCUAACACAUGCAAGUCGAACGGUAACAGGAAACAGCUUGCUGUUUCGCUGACGAGUGGCGGACGGGUGAGUAACGCGUAGGAAUAUACCUUGAAGUGGGGGGUAACUUGGGGAAACUCAAGCUAAUACCGCAUAAGCUCUUAGGAGGAAAGCUGGGGACCGCAAGGCCUGGCGCUUUGAGAUUAGCCUGCGUCCGAUUAGCUAGUUGGUGGGGUAAAGGCCUACCAAGGCGACGAUCGGUAGCUGGUCUGAGAGGAUGAUCAGCCACACUGGAACUGAGACACGGUCCAGACUCCUACGGGAGGCAGCAGUGGGGAAUAUUGGACAAUGGGGGCAACCCUGAUCCAGCAAUGCCGCGUGUGUGAGGAAGGCCUGAGGGUUGUAAAGCACUUUCAGUGGGGAGGAGGGCAAUUAGGUUAAGAGCUAGAUUGUUGGACGUUACCCACAGAAGAAGCACCGGCUAACUCCGUGCCAGCCGCCGCCGUAA
rnacentral:rRNA from 1 species